GAUGAACGCUGGCGGCGUGCCUAAUACAUGCAAGUCGAGCGAACAGAUAAGGAGCUUGCUCCUUUGACGUUAGCGGCGGACGGGUGAGUAACACGUGGGUAACCUGCCUAUAAGACUGGAAUAACUCCGGGAAACCGGGGCUAAUGCCGGAUAACAUUUAGAACCGCAUGGUUCUAAAGUGAAAGAUGGUUUUGCUAUCACUUAUAGAUGGACCCGCGCCGUAUUAGCUAGUUGGUAAGGUAACGGCUUACCAAGGCAACGAUACGUAGCCGACCUGAGAGGGUGAUCGGCCACACUGGAACUGAGACACGGUCCAGACUCCUACGGGAGGCAGCAGUAGGGAAUCUUCCGCAAUGGGCGAAAGCCUGACGGAGCAACGCCGCGUGAGUGAUGAAGGUCUUCGGAUCGUAAAACUCUGUUAUUAGGGAAGAACAAAUGUGUAAGUAACUGUGCACGUCUUGACGGUACCUAAUCAGAAAGCCACGGCUAACUACGUG
rnacentral:rRNA from 1 species